AUGGUCCAUUUUUACAUAAAUCUAAUUGAACUGUUAUGUCAUGGUAAUUACUCAGUCCGAAAAAUGGAAGGUAAAUUUAAACUAAAAGCUUGUGAAGAAAUAGAUGCUCGUUCAUCUGAGUUAAACAGCAUUGGUCAGGAAAUUUGGAAAAAUCCUGAACUUGGAUAUGAAGAAUUUGCAGCUCAUGAAUUACUAACAACGUUUUUGGAGAAAGAAGGAUUUAAUGUUUCAAAGAAAACACCAUUAGAAACUUCUUUUAUUGCAAGAUAUGGAAAUUCAGAAGGUUUAAAGAUUGGUAUUUUAUGUGAGUAUGAUGCAUUACCUGGAGUGGGUCAUGCUUGUGGACAUAAUUUGAUUGCAGAAGCUGGUAUUGGGGCAGCAUUAGGCAUCAAAUCUGUGUUGGAUGUUAUACCAGAAAAAAAUGUUCAACUUAUUGUGUUUGGAACGCCAGCAGAAGAGUGUGGGGAUGGAAAAACCAGAAUGAUUGCAAAAGGUGUAUUUGAUGAACCAGACAUUUGUAUGAUGUCACAUCCUGCCCCAUAUGAGAUACCAAUCCCAAUGUGGCUUGCAGCCUGUGAUUUAAAAAUAUCUUUUAAAGGAAAAGCAUCUCAUGCAGCUGCUGCACCAUGGGAAGGCAUCAAUGCAUUGGAUGCAGCUGUUGCGUGUUACAACAAUGUAUCCAUGCUACGUCAACAAAUGAAAACAACAUCUCGCGUUCAUUGCACAAUUGUUAAGGGUGGUGAUAAACCAAACAUCAUUCCAGAGUAUGCAGAAAUGCAUUAUUUUAUUCGAGGACUUACGGAUGCUGAUAAAACAGAUUUGUAUCAAAAGGUGACAAAUUGUGCAAAAGGAGCUGCUGAAGCAACAGGGUGCACUGUUGAGUUUGCUAUUAAUUGUGAAAUGUCAUCCAUCAACACUAACAAGAUUUUAAUAGAAUUGUAUAUUUCAAAUGCAAAAAGUUUGGGUGUGUCUUUUAACGAUGAAGAUCAAGUUACAAAGUUACUAGCAGGUUCGGACAUGGGUGAUGUAACACAGAUUAAACCAUCAAUACAUCCACUAUACAGAAUUCAAACAGCAGGGGCAAAUCAUACUCAUAAAUUCACACAAGCAACUGGAGAUGUAAUAAAUCAGUUACCAACAUUGAAUUCUGCUAAAAGUAUGGCAAUGACAGCUAUUGAUGUGAUAUGCAAACCUGAAUUAAUGGAAGAUAUUAAGAAAAGUUUUCAAGGAGUGUGUUAGUAUCAAUACUGUAUUAUAGAUGUAACUUUUUUUAAUUGCUAUGUAUUCUAGUGGUCAUUAAAUUUUUAUUUUAAAUUUUUUGCAUGCAAUUCAUACAAUUCAUACAUAAAAAAAUUUAUAAAGUUCAUUUCUCGGCUUUUAUAAUAUUCUAUGAUUUUUUUAGAGAACUAUUUUUUUCAGUACUGCAUGUGUUACAAUCUCAAAGGUGAUUGCAAAUCAAUUUUAUAUUUUAUAUUGACUCAACACAUAUUUUUCUCUGAGCAUGCAUAUAUAUUAAUGUCCAAUUGCUUACGUAGUAGAAAACCUUCCUUUUUGAAAGAUGUUUUUCCUGAUUGUUUUCUGAAAUACAAAUUAUAGAAAUUUCAUUGUCUAUAAAAAACAUUUAUAGGAUCAUUUAUUUUAUUAGACUUGUGUGCUAUACAGCCACAUUGUUUUCAGCAGUAUUGUUUUACCAGUUAUUAAUCAUUUUUUACUGAAACUAUUAAAUCUAUUAAUUAACUUUAAGAUCUGCACAGCAUUGGUCACAGCGUAAUAACUAUUGUCUCUUUAAUUUAAUUUUUUAAGCAACUGAAUCGAAGUAAGAAUGCACUUUCUGUUUCCCAACAAGAACAUGUAAAUAACAAAUUUAACAUAAAGCAACAGGGAGAGGGGGAGUAACACAGGCCACUCAAAGUUCAAUGUUGAGAUUUUUUUCUUCUUCUUGAUUUUGACAAGAAAAUACCAGAAUUCAUUAUAGAAGCCUUUUAGCAAAAAUGUUUUAUCUCAGGUCAAGUUAUCAUGAUCAUCAUCAUUGUCAUCAUUGUUAUUUGAAAUCCUUGGUUGACUGCUUUAAGAUACUGAAAGUUUUAUUCUUUUAUCUUUCUUUGGGAAAUGUCUAUGCAGUUAGCAACUAUUUGUAUUAAGACAAGAUUCCAUUCUUUUUCUUUACCAUCAUGGCUUUAAAUUUUACAUCGACAAUUGCAUCAACAAGUUUUCUUUAAUAAAUUUUUGCUAAGUAAGAGGGGAAUAUUUUCUUUUAUUAUCUGGGUAAGCAGAUAAUAAGCGAUACUUAAAUCAAGCAACCUGGUUGUUAAAAAAGCCGUUCAAUUAUAGUGUAACCCAGUUAUUAUUUACUAGCAAUGCCUGCUGACACGUCAUAGAGACAUUAGAAUCUUAAAUUUAAAUUGUGGUAACUUUGUAAACAAAAACCUAAGGAAGAAAAAGUUUGACAAAAAGAUGCAUACUUCAAAUACCUAUUAUGCAGAAAUCAGCAUGAAGAUUUGCUGAGAGAGGUUAAUUAUCUGGAUAAUGUCCUAUUUUUAACCUAUUUACAAGUUUUUGCAAUGACACGCUAUUCUUUGUUAAUGUGUCAGCAAGAUGUUUGCUAGUUUUAAGCCAAAGCUUUAGCACGUCUUUGUUAACAAUCAGUUGUUUAAAUACUCUAAUAUAUCUUUUUAACCUCUUGUCGCUCACAUACUUAAAGAUUUUAACCAGUGAUUUGUUGUCAGAUAUUGUCUCAAUGGCCAAUCUAAUGAGAAUUAUGACCAUAGCCAAUGUCAAUGCUGCUGAGAUGUUAAUGCUGCAUCAAUACCUUUACCCAUAGUUAUUGUUUAAGCAGCAAGACAGCUUUUUACAAUCUGUUCCAGACGCUUCAAUGCCAAGUGAUGUUACAAGUGUUGUUUUCAUCAGCAAGAAAGUGGCAAGUGGCUUUCACAAUCAGACAGAUUUCUAAAUACUGCAUCUGCAUAGACAAUAACUUUGAUCUGAUCCUGAAGUUGUUUAAACGUCUAAAUGUUGGAGAAGUUUUCAAGUUUCCUAAUUACUUAAUUAAGGGCAAAAAUGUCUUUGUAGGUUGAUUUUUUUAUUGCAAUACUACAAGAUUUAAUACUUUGAAGCAAAUGUCUGUUCGGGUGUGAUUGAUUACUCACAAGAGUUGUUCAAUUUUUGAUUCCUUUGAAGAAAUUUUUUUGUACUAUUCUCAGAAUGAUACAUUAAGGUUGGCUGCAGUGUGUUGAAGUGAUCAGCAUGGUCGAUAAUAAUACUUUCUUUAUCUUGGCAAAUGUUGAGAUAUCUUAAGGUACUUCAUUUUUCAUUUAAUAGUAAAAGAUUUUGGGUAACAAUAAUUUAUUUAUAAGGUAUAAUUUGAUUUAAAAAAUAACAAUCCCCAGACCAAAAAAAGUCACCAAUAUGUUUGGCUAUGUAAAAGCGUUAAAAUAGUAUUUUUAACACGCUGAUACGAUUGAUUUGAAUUGUCACUUUCUUCCUCUUUAUCUUUGUCUAAAAUUAUUUGAUCAAUCUUCACAUAUGAUUUUCAAGCAUGCAUUCAGCUGUGUCAGAGUCACAGCUAAAUCUUUCAGUUAGGUCAUGCGGAUUAUUUGCCAGAUUUUGCUCUUUAAUUUUUUAAUUUGUUUAACUCCUUGGCAAGUAAUGAUAAGUUUUCACAAAUUUUGCACAAGAUGCGUGUGGUAUGUUGAUAUUGCAGAUAUAUAUUCUUUUUCAGGUUUAAAAAAAUCAUAAGUUGUGAGAAUGUCAACUUUUUGUUGACUUUCGAUUUAAACGAUUCAACAAUUUAUUCGAAAGAAUUGGAAAUGGAAACUAUCUCACAUAAAGGCCAUAAAAGGGCCUUUUUGGCGAACGGUUGUUGAUUCUUCAAAGGCUACGAUGCAAGAUUUAACAAACAGAGUUAAGUGUCUAAACAGAUGACUGGGAUGCCAAUUCAUCUACAGGACAAACUUUAACAUUCAUAUUGUCUUGUACUGUGGCUUCCUUCUUUUUUUUUUCGCAGCCAAAUUUGGUAAUUUUCAUUAUCUUUAAAUUUGAUAUAAUUAUCCAUUAUCUUUCUUCAAAUUUAUUAUCAAUUUUAGUGGUCUUUCCUUUUCCUUCUUCUUUAGCUUCUCCCUUUGUAAGUUGGAGUUUUGGGCAUUAGUCAGUACAGAAUGUUCCCUUUUCUUUGGCUGCUCGUAAAGAAAAGAAUAGCUAUAAAGACUAAUAAAUUGUAAAUUUGUCUGCAUGAAAAUAUAAUAACAAUAACACCAAAUAAUAAUAACAUAUAGCAAUAAAAAUGAUGGACAGCAAUGCAAAACCUGCAUAAAAAUGUUAUGCAAUGUAAAAAGUUGUUAAAAAAACUUACCACUUUUUUUUACUGUAGAUUUUUUAUAGCGAUAUAUGUAGCUAAUCCAUAGGUCUUAUAAAUAUGUUGAUAAAACAAAAACACAUUAGAAAAGCUCCAAAACAAUUCGAAACAACGCUGUAGUAUUGUAAAAUUGUAUGAACAAAAUUUUUUGGUAGCACAUUUUUAAGUUGGCUUCCAUGGCAUUCACCGCAAAUUAAACAUAUUUGGCUGUUUUAUACCUGAUAGGGAACAGUCUAAUUUGAUACUUUGCAUUUCAAUUGACCCCAGAGAAACCUUAGUUUUUCAACUUAAAAUUUAAAGCUAACAAUCAAAAAAAUUGCAAACUUUUAAAACCCUUUUUUUCUCAACCGAAUUUGAAAAUAGCCCUCCAUAAUAUGGCUGCCGGAAAUUCCUUUCUUUCUUGCACUGGUAAAGUUACACCGCAUUACAUGUAGAGAUAAAUUAAGGAUACUAUACACUUUUCCUAUGAGCAUUUAAAAUUAUAUUGUAAAAAGAGAUUUUUAACUGCAGUCAAUAACUAAGGUAAAUAAAAGAAAUGAUGAUAAUUUACGUAAAUUGUUGUUUGAUCUUCCUUGUCAGGGCCAACAAAGUACGACAUUUUCUGUAUUUCGUUAAAAACAAGCUAAAUGUUGGGUUACUUAACAUAGCAUCCUUUGUUCAACUGCAUAAUUUUUCAUUUAUCAGCCUUUAAAUUUUUUGAUGUUGUUUCAUUAGUUCCAUAUGCUAUCUUCUAUCACACUAACAGCAAAUUAACCUGACACCACCACACAACCAAGUACGUAACCACCAAUACUAUGUACAACUCUAGACGGUAAACCACAUAUAUAUAACCAGAGGGCCUAGAAAUUCCGCCCUGAGUUUCUGCUCCAUAUUUUAAGGAGGUGAGGGUGAAGUGACCAUGGUAGAUGACAGUGGUGGAACAAGAUUUGGACUUUGGUCUAAAGUGAUUUGAGUUGCAACUUUAACCAUCAUCAUCUGAAUUUUCUGAUUUACUUAAAUUUUUUUUCGCUAAAUAAUAUAUAUGGUGCUCACCGUCACGGCAAGUAGACUGUCAGUUUUGUGGGUUACAAUGCGUUACUGAAGAUAAAUAAGACUUGGUAUGGAAAUACCAAAUAUAAACCUAUGAAAGGUAAACUUCUAAUUUUUAUAAAUUGACCCAUAAUAUCACAAUAUUGCUGUAAAUGUUGUAUAUUCUUGAUUGAAAAGUGAUCUGAAAGAGAUUCAGGGUUACGUGGGUCAUUAUCCAAGUUGUAAAUAAAAUCUUAAAUUUUAUCUUUCAGAAGUGACUGAUUUUUGAAAGUCAUAUUUUUUUAACUGCUUGCACACAGCACUUUUAGUUACACAUACACAUUUUUUGGAUGGAAAUCUACUAUUCCUUUCCAAAAUUCACCUAGUUAUGUAUGUUUGUUUUUCUAGUUUUGUUGUUUUUCUAGUGCAUAUUGUAACCUAUAUUUUUGCUUGCGUUAUAAAGUAAAGAUUAAGUAAAGAUUUUAGAAUUUUCAAAACUUUUUAUAAAAAGAGUUAUUCUUCGCACUUCUAAUACUGUGAUACUUGUUGGUGCUUUAGUUCUGAGACAUUUUUUUAACGUUUGUUUUCAUAUCCAACAUAAUUGUUGGAUAUAUGAAAGCAAACAUUGAAUCCAGAUUUAUAAUCCUUCUUUUGCUAACUUUUGUAAAAUCUGUUAUAUUUUAGAAGCUAUGUCAUAUAACUUAAACAUUUUUGUAAGGGCAUAGUGUUAUAUUUUGAUGAUUUGGUUGAAAUGUAAGAAGUUAGGUUUUUCCUGUAAAAAUAUUUUUCAACUGCUUUGAUAUUAACUUGUUCUUGUUUCAAUAUUUUAAGAACAGGUUUCUUCUUUAUUUUACUUUAUACAGCUUUAAGUUUAAGGUAUGAUAAAUUAAAUUUGUUAUUGUACUGCUUGAUACUGUUGAAAGAAAUUUUGAACUUGAGAGUAGGGUUCUGACCAAAUGAUAAAUUGUUACAGAUGAUUGUAUCACCUCUUUACAGUUUUAAGACAAAAAAGAUUCAAGUUUAAAGCUACAGUCAUACAUUUCAAUAAAAAGCUCUUGUAAAAAAUAUUGUAUUUUUAUUUAUUUUUUUUAUGUAUUCAUCAAUGCACCGACUUCAGACCAUUUUUUAAAUAGGUGUAAAAAAUUAAAUGUCUUCAAUAUAUUCAAUAUGUUUGGCUAUGUAAAAGCGUUAAAAUAGUAUUUUUAACACGCUGAUACGAUUGAUUUGAAUUGUCACUUUCUUCCUCUUUAUCUUUGUCUAAAAUUAUUUGAUCAAUCUUCACAUAUGAUUUUCAAGCAUGCAUUCAGCUGUGUCAGAGUCACAGCUAAAUCUUUCAGUUAGGUCAUGCGGAUUAUUUGCCAGAUUUUCCUCUUUAAUUUUUUAAUUUGUUUAACUCCUUGGCAAGUAAUGAUAAGUUUUCACAAAUUUUGCACAAGAUGCGUGUGGUAUGUUGAUAUUGCAGAUAUAUAUUCUUUUUCAGGUUUAAAAAAAUCAUAAGUUGUGAGAAUGUCAACUUUUUGUUGACUUUCGAUUUAAACGAUUCAACAAUUUAUUCGAAAGAAUUGGAAAUGGAAACUAUCUCACAUAAAGGCCAUAAAAGGGCCUUUUUGGCGAACGGUUGUUGAUUCUUCAAAGGCUACGAUGCAAGAUUUAACAAACAGAGUUAAGUGUCUAAACAGAUGACUGGGAUGCCAAUUCAUCUACAGGACAAACUUUAACAUUCAUAUUGUCUUGUACUGUGGCUUCCUUCUUUUUUUUUUCGCAGCCAAAUUUGGUAAUUUUCAUUAUCUUUAAAUUUGAUAUAAUUAUCCAUUAUCUUUCUUCAAAUUUAUUAUCAAUUUUAGUGGUCUUUCCUUUUCCUUCUUCUUUAGCUUCUCCCUUUGUAAGUUGGAGUUUUGGGCAUUAGUCAGUACAGAAUGUUCCCUUUUCUUUGGCUGCUCGUAAAGAAAAGAAUAGCUAUAAAGACUAAUAAAUUGUAAAUUUGUCUGCAUGAAAAUAUAAUAACAAUAACACCAAAUAAUAAUAACAUAUAGCAAUAAAAAUGAUGGACAGCAAUGCAAAACCUGCAUAAAAAUGUUAUGCAAUGUAAAAAGUUGUUAAAAAAACUUACCACUUUUUUUUACUGUAGAUUUUUUAUAGCGAUAUAUGUAGCUAAUCCAUAGGUCUUAUAAAUAUGUUGAUAAAACAAAAACACAUUAGAAAAGCUCCAAAACAAUUCGAAACAACGCUGUAGUAUUGUAAAAUUGUAUGAACAAAAUUUUUUGGUAGCACAUUUUUAAGUUGGCUUCCAUGGCAUUCACCGCAAAUUAAACAUAUUUGGCUGUUUUAUACCUGAUAGGGAACAGUCUAAUUUGAUACUUUGCAUUUCAAUUGACCCCAGAGAAACCUUAGUUUUUCAACUUAAAAUUUAAAGCUAACAAUCAAAAAAAUUGCAAACUUUUAAAACCCUUUUUUUCUCAACCGAAUUUGAAAAUAGCCCUCCAUAAUAUGGCUGCCGGAAAUUCCUUUCUUUCUUGCACUGGUAAAGUUACACCGCAUUACAUGUAGAGAUAAAUUAAGGAUACUAUACACUUUUCCUAUGAGCAUUUAAAAUUAUAUUGUAAAAAGAGAUUUUUAACUGCAGUCAAUAACUAAGGUAAAUAAAAGAAAUGAUGAUAAUUUACGUAAAUUGUUGUUUGAUCUUCCUUGUCAGGGCCAACAAAGUACGACAUUUUCUGUAUUUCGUUAAAAACAAGCUAAAUGUUGGGUUACUUAACAUAGCAUCCUUUGUUCAACUGCAUAAUUUUUCAUUUAUCAGCCUUUAAAUUUUUUGAUGUUGUUUCAUUAGUUCCAUAUGCUAUCUUCUAUCACACUAACAGCAAAUUAACCUGACACCACCACACAACCAAGUACGUAACCACCAAUACUAUGUACAACUCUAGACGGUAAACCACAUAUAUAUAACCAGAGGGCCUAGAAAUUCCGCCCUGAGUUUCUGCUCCAUAUUUUAAGGAGGUGAGGGUGAAGUGACCAUGGUAGAUGACAGUGGUGGAACAAGAUUUGGACUUUGGUCUAAAGUGAUUUGAGUUGCAACUUUAACCAUCAUCAUCUGAAUUUUCUGAUUUACUUAAAUUUUUUUUCGCUAAAUAAUAUAUAUGGUGCUCACCGUCACGGCAAGUAGACUGUCAGUUUUGUGGGUUACAAUGCGUUACUGAAGAUAAAUAAGACUUGGUAUGGAAAUACCAAAUAUAAACCUAUGAAAGGUAAACUUCUAAUUUUUAUAAAUUGACCCAUAAUAUCACAAUAUUGCUGUAAAUGUUGUAUAUUCUUGAUUGAAAAGUGAUCUGAAAGAGAUUCAGGGUUACGUGGGUCAUUAUCCAAGUUGUAAAUAAAAUCUUAAAUUUUAUCUUUCAGAAGUGACUGAUUUUUGAAAGUCAUAUUUUUUUAACUGCUUGCACACAGCACUUUUAGUUACACAUACACAUUUUUUGGAUGGAAAUCUACUAUUCCUUUCCAAAAUUCACCUAGUUAUGUAUGUUUGUUUUUCUAGUUUUGUUGUUUUUCUAGUGCAUAUUGUAACCUAUAUUUUUGCUUGCGUUAUAAAGUAAAGAUUAAGUAAAGAUUUUAGAAUUUUCAAAACUUUUUAUAAAAAGAGUUAUUCUUCGCACUUCUAAUACUGUGAUACUUGUUGGUGCUUUAGUUCUGAGACAUUUUUUUAACGUUUGUUUUCAUAUCCAACAUAAUUGUUGGAUAUAUGAAAGCAAACAUUGAAUCCAGAUUUAUAAUCCUUCUUUUGCUAACUUUUGUAAAAUCUGUUAUAUUUUAGAAGCUAUGUCAUAUAACUUAAACAUUUUUGUAAGGGCAUAGUGUUAUAUUUUGAUGAUUUGGUUGAAAUGUAAGAAGUUAGGUUUUUCCUGUAAAAAUAUUUUUCAACUGCUUUGAUAUUAACUUGUUCUUGUUUCAAUAUUUUAAGAACAGGUUUCUUCUUUAUUUUACUUUAUACAGCUUUAAGUUUAAGGUAUGAUAAAUUAAAUUUGUUAUUGUACUGCUUGAUACUGUUGAAAGAAAUUUUGAACUUGAGAGUAGGGUUCUGACCAAAUGAUAAAUUGUUACAGAUGAUUGUAUCACCUCUUUACAGUUUUAAGACAAAAAAGAUUCAAGUUUAAAGCUACAGUCAUACAUUUCAAUAAAAAGCUCUUGUAAAAAAUAUUGUAUUUUUAUUUAUUUUUUUUAUGUAUUCAUCAAUGCACCGACUUCAGACCAUUUUUUAAAUA